rnacentral:rRNA from 1 species
GAGAGUAGGUAGUCUGCACGAGCGCACCCUUAUAUUUAGUUGCCAGCACAUAAUGGUGGGGACUCUAAAUAGACUGCCCGGAAUAACCGGGAGGAAGGUGGGGAUGACGUCAAGUCCUCAUGGCCCUUACGUGUUGGGCUACACACGUGCUACAAUGGCAUCUACAACAGGAAGCAAAACGGCAACGUUAAGCAAAUCCCGAAAAGAUGCCUCAGUUCGGAUUGCACUCUGCAACUCGAGUGCAUGAAGCUGGAAUUACUAGUAAUCGUAGAUCAGCGUGCUACGGUGAAUGCGUUCCCGGGUCUUGUACACACCGCCCGUCACACCAUGGGAGUUGGUUCUACCUUAAGGCAAGGUUUUAAACCCUUGACCACGGUAUAGUCAGCGACUGGGGUGAAGUCGUAACAAGGUAGCCGUAGGGGAACCUGCGGCUGGAUUACCUCCUUUCU